GAUGAAGAACGUAGCGAAAUGCGAUACUUGGUGUGAAUUGCAGAAUCCCGUGAACCAUCGAGUCUUUGAACGCAAGUUGCGCCCGAAGCCAUUAGGCCGAGGGCACGCCUGCCUGGGCGUCACACGUCGUUGCCCCCCCAUCUACUCCUUCGGGAUUGCGGGGGGCGGAUGAUGGCCUCCCGUGCACCUUGUCGCGCGGUUGGCAUAAAUGCCAAGUCCUCGGCGACGCACGCCACGACAAUCGGUGGUUGCGAAACCUCGGUUGCCCGUCGUGUGCGGUCGUCGCGCAUCGAGGGCUCGAAAAAAUUGUCGGGCUCCGGCUCGGCUUUCAACGCGACCCCACGUCAGGCGGGGUUACCCGCUGAAUUUAAGCAUAUCAAUAAGCGGAGGA
rnacentral:misc_RNA from 1 species